CUGGGGUCCUCAAAGGGGCUCUAGUGUAUUCCUGAGUCUGGCCAAAUCUUGUAAGCGUACACUGCAACCAGUUAGACGAUCAGCAGUGGGCACAGUGGUUGGAGCCGGCCAGCAAUGGUCGCUUCCUUCUACGAAGCAAUUGUUUGUGUGGGUUAGUAGUAGUGCGGUUGUGCUUCGGCGCUUCUCGUGUUGCUGGGCCCAUGCAAGUGAACUACGGCUGAAUACUGACUGGCGAAAUGAAAAUCACUCGCAAGAGUGUUAGAGACAAAGCAACCGGCCAGACGUGGGCCUACACGGUCGACUGUUAGGUCUAAGCUUGGCGCUUUUGAAUUCAGACUUGCUUGCUACCAGUGGGGCAACUCCUGGGUGCCUGUAUAGCUUCUGUCUAAUCGGGCGUCGACUUGGCUUAGGCAUUGUUCGGCUGUGCUACGAUAGGGUCUGCGUCUGAGUUGGCUCGCAAUGUGAAU
rnacentral:rRNA from 1 species